rnacentral:rRNA from 1 species
AUUGAACGCUGGCGGCAGGCCUAACACAUGCAAGUCGAGCGGAUGACGGGAGCUUGCUCCUUGAUUCAGCGGCGGACGGGUGAGUAAUGCCUAGGAAUCUGCCUGGUAGUGGGGGACAACGUUUCGAAAGGAACGCUAAUACCGCAUACGUCCUACGGGAGAAAGCAGGGGACCUUCGGGCCUUGCGCUAUCAGAUGAGCCUAGGUCGGAUUAGCUAGUUGGUGGGGUAAUGGCUCACCAAGGCGACGAUCCGUAACUGGUCUGAGAGGAUGAUCAGUCACACUGGAACUGAGACACGGUCCAGACUCCCACGGGAGGCAGCAGUGGGGAAUAUUGGACAAUGGGCGAAAGCCUGAUCCAGCCAUGCCGCGUGUGUGAAGAAGGUCUUCGGAUUGUAAAGCACUUUAAGUUGGGAGGAAGGGCAGUAAGUUAAUACCUUGCUGUUUUGACGUUACCGACAGAAUAAGCACCGGCUAACUCUGUGCCAGCAGCCCGCCGUAACAC